UUGUAAUACUCACCCAGUUACAGUAAUUUGUGUAAUGUUGGACAUACGAUGAAACAACACGACAUUGAUACAGCAAUUUGAUCUCACACUCAUUUUUAUCAGCAGAUUAGUGUGCUUUGAGUACACCACAGUUCUGUAAGUGAAAAAUUAAUUCAUAUUUAUGUGUGUUUCUUUCUCAGUAAGGACUACCUUUAACUGACUUUCUGUCUGUCUGUCUGUUCUCAACCAAACGGUCAUUCAAGACCUUUUAAAGCAAAAACAUUUCCCGUGCAAGUUUGAAUCUCUCUCAGUAAGGACUUAUUGACUGGCUGUCUGUUCUCGACCAAACGGUCAUUCUUACUCAUAAAAAACUUUUAAAGCACAAGUGUGUCCCGCGCAAGUUUGAAUUUCUCUCAGUAAGGACUGACGGAUGGCCAUUCACUCAUAAAACCUUUUAAAGGUUAGCACGAAUGCAUCCAGCAUAAUUUUGGAUCUUUACCAUUGAGGAGACUGGCUGACUGUUCUCAACAAACCAUCAUUCACACGCAAAAACUUUAAAGGUAAGUAUGAACGUGUCUAGAGCAGUUUUGGAUCUUUACCAUUGAGGAGGUUGACUGACUUUCAUCUACCAACUGUCAUUAACACAACAAAAACUAAAGAAAUGUUACUACAAGUGGACCUAUUCAGUUACUCAUUAUGCUGUGAGUACACCACAAUUUUAUCAGUGAAACAAUAAUGUUUGUUUUUUCUCAAUGCUUGGCAUAGACAAAUGUGACCCUGUGUAAUUUGGAAAUUUCAUGGGAAAUGUGUACGUCUUAAAGAGCACCUAUUAUGGGAUACACGUUUUUAAACAUCCUUUUGUGUGUAAGUGUGCAUUAGUACAUGCUAACGAUAUUCAAAAAGUACAUACCUCAAAGAAAACGAUGACGCGAGUUAUCGUCUCUAACGUUCGAGGACUACAAAAAACACUCGGAUUGUAGGCAACAGUUUACUUCCUGGGAUUGGUGACGUAGAUAAGACCAACAUUAUCAUAGUUCAGCCCUCUCUGCUUUGCUUGGGUACGCCCUCAAAGACGGGGGUGGGGAGCGCCGAGUCAGAAGAGAGCUAAAAUGGCGGAGGUUGUGAGUCCCUGCUGUGACUCUGUUUGCAAACUCUUGUUUCAUUGUUUAAGCGAUUAAAUCUCUCGAGUAGACGCUGUCUCUUUAGAUGCGAGGGCAAAAUAGCACUUUAUGGACUUCCACAGAGGACAUCAUGUUUAAUACGGUUCCGGAAAAAUCCAGUCAGAAGUUGUUCACGGAGUUUUCACAAUAACUGCUUCUCAUGAACCGAAGCUGGAUUUGCGCGAAGUCUCCUCUUGAAAGUUGGAUUACUGUGCACUUCUGGAUCACAGGCUAUUCGCAGCUGGACACAUCCUUCUACACUGUAUGCAAACAUGCAACAUCAUUACACACAGUACAAGGAGUCAGACUGGCAUAUGAGGAGCAAAGGAACCCAGGCAGUAGCAUCGUUUCACAAUGUUUCCAUCAUCAUCAUCAGUGGAUGCCUUUGCCUUCC